UCCGUAGGUGAACCUGCGGAAGGAUCAUUAUAGAAUUGGUUGCUUGCAACCUUCACUAUAACAUACUGUUCAUGUUCCUGUUGCUUCCCUAACAUUAGGAGGCUUUCCCUUAUGGGCUUGUUUCUGUUAGGGAACUUUGUCAAACAUAUUGUGUAUUUAUUCUGAAUCUACCAUGAAAAUGGAUAUUAAAACUUUCAACAACGGAUCUCUAGGCUCUUGCAUCGAUGAAGAACGCAGCGAAAUGCGAUACGUAGUGUGAAUUGCAGACUCCAGUGAAUCAUCGAAUCUUUGAACGCACAUUGCGCCCACUGGUAUUCCGGUGGGCAUGCCUGUCUGAGCGUCAGUAUAAUCUCAAGCCUCCGCUUGGUAUUGGAAGAUGAUCUGCCUAGCAGUUCACUUCUUAAACUGAUUGGCAAGUUUACAUAGCAGCAAGCGUAGUAGAAAUACCAUCAGCUUAGUUACUUUGGAAGCUUCGUCAUAAUCAAACUAUUUUUAAGGUUUGACCUCAGAUCAGGUAAGGAUACCCCCUGAACUUAAGCAUAUCAAUAAGGCGGGGGAGGGGAAGGGUCGGACUGGCCCAAGGGGGCACACAGGGGGGAUA
rnacentral:rRNA from 1 species